rnacentral:tRNA from 1 species
UUUAAGAUGGCAGAUAAAUGCAUAGAUUUUAAACGUCUAAGAUGGAAUAUCCCUCUUAAAA